rnacentral:lncRNA from 1 species
ACAUAUAUAAUUGUACUUUAGAAAAGUUUGUCAGGUUCAUGGGUAAACUACUAUAAUUUUUUUUUAAGAGAUAGACACAGACACAAAUAAACUGGUUUAUAACUUAUGACUUAUAAACUCAUAUUAUUAAAAAGAAUCUAUGUGGUAACAAUAUUUCACCAAGAACUUAUAGUUUAUAUUACGAUCUUACUAUUCAAACCUAUUUCAAUUAGAUUUUAUACUUAUAGCUUAUUGUUUUUUCUUUCAAUUUAUCCGGAUUAUUAUUUCAUCUAAAAUCAAAUCUACCCUUUAUAAUUUAUUAAAUUUAUUAAAUAAAUGUAGGCAUAUGAAUGGUAAUAUAUACUAGUACUACUAUUUAUUAAAUUCAUUAUACGAAUGUUUUACUACUAGUACUACUAUUAUGAAAGUUAACGAGACAAAAUUGCAAGUUUGUGAAAGUUAGAAGGACAAAAAUGCAAUUAUACUUAAUUAUAAUCAAGAGUUAAGUUUGAGAAUGAUAUUCUCUAAUGCCAAUUUGAGUAGGCUAAUUUACUUUCUUCAAAAAAAAAAUUGAGAAUGAUCCUAUUUUGUACCCUAGUACUAUUAUAAUAUUAAUGUACACCAUAAGUUAUCGGU